rnacentral:rRNA from 1 species
UACGUAGGGGGCUAGCGUUGUCCGGAAUCAUUGGGCGUAAAGCGCGUGUAGGCGGCCCGAUAAGUCCGCUGUGAAAGUCGGGGGCUCAACCCUCGAAAGCCGGUGGAUACUGUCGGGCUAGAGUACGGAAGAGGCGAGUGGAAUUCCUGGUGUAGCGGUGAAAUGCGCAGAUAUCAGGAGGAACACCCAUUGCGAAGGCAGCUCGCUGGGACGUUACUGACGCUGAGACGCGAAAGCGUGGGGAGCAAACAGG